CACAAAUUCUACAAAAAUUUAUCACUUAAAAAAAAUCUUUAAAAAUCUUAAUUGAAUACACCCCGUUAAUAACUCAAAUAAUACACAACUAACAUAAUUUACAAGUUAAGUUAAAAUAAAAUACACCAUUAACAAAUUACUGAAAAAUAAAUUCAGUAAACAAAUUAGACAACUAAAACUAAAAUAAUCAUCUACACUCAUCAUCCACGAUACCCAAACCUUCAUCGCCUAAUACGAAGAGCCGUCUCCGUCUUCGUUCUCAAAAUUUGAAAUCUUUAGUCUCCAAUAAUCAGACCCAAACAAGCAUCCACCCCUGCCAUCCCAGAUCAAUCACCAUGGUUGCCGGCGAAAGGAGAGUAGAGCAACAGACCAAAACAAAAUCUGAUUAUUAGAAAUCAACCCAAGAUUUUGAAGCCAACACAAAGAUUAUAACAGUUUAAACCAAAUCAAGAGAAAACAUCAACCCUAAUCGAUAAAAUGAAAUAAAAACCAAUCAGGAGGAGUCUGAAUCUGCCGGACCAAAGCAUGAGACUUCAAACCACCGGAUUAGAAAUCAAAUCCAGAAGUUAUAUAAAAUUUUGUCUAACUAACAGAGCAUAAUACAUGUAAAGUGCAGAGAGAUAGAAAUCAAAUAACUAACAUAGCAUAAUACAAAACAUACCCUCUAUGGAUGAGUUCUUGAGUUUCCUUUUGUGCUCCUCGAUAUUCUUCAUUGUUCUCUAUGACUUUUCAUUAUUUCGUCUUCUGGAUUUGAUUUCAAAUCCGGAUGGGUCAAAUAUACAGACAAAACAAACCCCAAGAUCCGGUUAAACAAAGAAAUCACACGGCCAAGCAGAUCUUAAGAUCGAGAACAUAUAUGCUUUUCGAUGAUAAACGCCGGCAAAAUCACCGGGACUCAAAUAAAUCCAUUUGGAUAAACAGAUUUAUAAGAGGGAGAUACCAAAGAUCAAACAUCAAACUGAAAACAUUUCCAGAUUAGGUAAUGGGUUAAUUAGCUAGCUGGGGUGUACUUAAUAAAUUUGUAGUUUAAACAUAAUAAUUAGUUUUCAAAAUUAAAAAUAAGAAUUAAUUUUCAAAUUUUCAAAUAAUAAUAAUAAUUAUUACUAUUAGUAGUAGUAAUAGUAGUA
rnacentral:lncRNA from 1 species